UACGUAGGUGGCAAGCGUUGUCCGGAAUUAUUGGGCGUAAAGCGCGCGCAGGCGGUCUCUUAAGUCUGAUGUGAAAUCCCGUGGCUUAACCACGGGCGGUCAUUGGAAACUGGGGGACUUGAGUGCAGAAGAGAAGAGCGGAAUUCCACGUGUAGCGGUGAAAUGCGUAGAUAUCUGGAGGAACACCGAUGGCGAAGGCAGCCCCCUGGGCUAACACUGACGCUGAAGCACGAAAGCGUGGGGAGCAAACAGG
rnacentral:rRNA from 1 species